rnacentral:lncRNA from 1 species
UUGCACUAUUCUUGCAGCUUUUCUGUAAGCUUAAAAUUACAUAAUUGGAUUCAUGUGGACAUAAAGAUGGGACCAAUAGACACUGGAGACUCCAAAAGGAGGAAAGGCGAGCAAGGCUGAAAACCUUCCUAUUGGGGACUAUGUUCACUAUCUGGGUAAUGGGACCAAUAGAAAGAAGCCCAAACCCCAGCCCCAUAUGACAUACUCUUGUAACAAAUCUA